CCUACGGGAGGCAGCAGUGGGGAAUAUUGGUCAAUGGAGGCAACUCUGACCCAGCAACGCCGCGUGAAUGAUGAAGGUCUUCGGAUUGUAAAGUUCUGUGAUGGGGGAUGAACACAAUGACGGUACCCCAGUAGCAAGCCACGGCUAACUACGUGCCAGCAGCCGCGGUAAUACGUAGGUGGCAAGCGUUAUCCGGAAGGACUGGGCGUAAAGGGUGCGUAGGUUGUUUAGUAAGGUGGCGGGGUAAUUCCGGGGCUCAACCUCGGCGCUACCGCAACAACUGUGAGACUAGAGUGCAGGAGGGGUAAGUGGAAUGCCUAGUGUAGCGGUGGAAUGCGUAGAUAUUAGGAGGAACAUCAGGGGCGAAGGCGACUUACUGGACUGUAACUGACGCUGAGGCACGAAAGCGUGGGGAGCAAACAGGAUUAGAUACCCUUGUAGUC
rnacentral:rRNA from 1 species